rnacentral:rRNA from 1 species
GACAGAGGGUGCAAACGUUGUUCGGAAUUACUGGGCGUAAAGCGAGUGUAGGCGGUCCGAUAAGUCGGGUGUGAAAGCCCUGGGCUCAACCCAGGAAGUGCACUCGAUACUGCCGGGCUAGAGUAUCGGAGAGGUUGGUGGAAUUCUCGGUGUAGAGGUGAAAUUCGUAGAUAUCGAGAGGAACACCGGUGGCGAAGGCGGCCAACUGGACGAAUACUGACGCUGAGACUCGAAAGCGUGGGGAGCAAACAGG